rnacentral:rRNA from 1 species
AUGGCAGUGCAACAAGUCAAGCCCCACGUCCAGAGGAUCCAUCAACCCUCCUUGUAUUGGAACAAUCUGGGCAAGCAACAACUGAAAGGACAAGCUCAACAAAUAACAUUCAUCCACCUCAUGUCGAUACUCGAAUACAAACGAAACAAACAACCCCCAACAAAGCAUGUCUCCAGUGAAAAAGGAAGCUACAUCAAAAUUGCUCAGAAACAGCCAGCUGCAGCAGGUAGCAGAGCCUUUCUUGAUCAUCAAGCUUAUUACAUUUCAGUAAAUGGACACCCCAGGUUUAGUCUGGGCUAA